GGGAUCCUUUCAAGCCCACCAAGAGGGUGGAUACAGAGCAAAAACCUCAAGAAGACGGAGGCACGAGCAACCAACUUGAGGGAGGCAGGGAAGGUUUCCAACAAAAGUCUUUUUUCCAGGCAUAUUAAACCCAUUGGGGAACAGAUCGUUCAUGGGGUGAGGAAGUUUACAGACGAUGAAGCUGAAGUACAGAGAAGUUGAGUCACUUGUCCAAGGCCACAUGCUGGCAGAUGGUGGAAUGGGGCCCUGUUGGAUGUCAGAAUCUACACUGCAUUUCAUUCCAUUUCCCUGCAGUGGAAAAUCUCUGACUUUGGAGUCAUAGAGGUCUGCGUUGGAAUCUUGGUUUGGCCAUUAACUUAUCGAGAGCCCUUAGGUUAGUGCCUUCAGCACUAGCGAGCUGUUUCCUUCUUUUGCACUGGCUGAACGUAGAAACAAAGAAGUCUCCUAUGAACUCCUCUAAAGACACUCCUGGUGUGGCCCCUUUGCAUGCACUGUCUGAUAAAUGUGGGGCAUCCUGGGAACAGCUGCAGCAUCAAUGGUAUUACACUGGGGACACUGUACAUGCCCAGUGAACACUGGCCACUGCUGUGACUAAAGAGAAAAGCCCACAAGCAAAUUUUAGAACUCCCAGCAUCUUCACCCAAUUCAAUAACCUUGAUUCUUAGUCCCCCUGGAUUCACAAUCUUGUAUUUCAAUUCUCUACCAGCGUGUUAUUCUGCAACAAGUAGAUUCCCAGGCUUGCCUUAGGAUACCUCUCUCUGAUGUAGGUGCAGACGUUUCUUUAGUUCCCAAAGAGCACAAUCCCAUGCUUGCUCCCUCAUGUGUGUGUCCCUAAUGAGUCCUAAUUAUGACGAUUCUGGAUCUGCACUCUCUUAGUGUCCUAGGGGUCUCUAAUCAGAUAAUUCCUUAUUCUUGUACCUCUAUCAGCAGUUCCAUUUCAGAAUGUCACAAUGUUAAACAUACCUGUGAUUUCAAAGUUAAGUUAUACCAAGGGUGGUCGUAAAAUUUCAUGUCCAAACCACGGCACUAUUUCAGACUAAAAGGAGAUGUUUAGUUAAAAUUCUGUAACUUGUUGAAAUAGAUUAACCAACAUUGAUUUUUACUAUCUUUUUACUAAAAUAUGGGCUUCUUUUAAGCUUUUAAAGAUGAGAUCUUUCCUACAAAAUAAAAUCUAUCUAUAUUAAAGCAGAAUAAAAGCUUUAUGUUGACAUUUAAACAUUUAAAAACAGCAAGGAGAAUAAUUAUCUUUGGUAUAUAUUCACAUCUG